CAGAUCAGCUGUGGCAUGAGGUCUACAGCCCUGACGCAGGUGUAACCAUCCGUGUGGCUCUGACACUCCUACACUAGAAUGCUUCUUGGAUUUGCCGUAAAACAGACUAAAAGAAUGACAGGUGAAUUGGCUCCUUCCGGUGGGUUCUCACUCUGGCUGACUUCAAGAAUUAAGCCGGGGAUCUUCUCGUGAGGAGCCCUCCGGACCUGCUCCAUAGCGACGGCAGGACCUGCCUCCCAGCAGAGCAGAGAUGAGCUAGUCAGGAGCAGGAGAAAUGAUCUUCAGACUCUGGGGCCCAGCAUUCCCCAGGUUUCCUGCAGGUCUCAAAAUCUAUCUUGAACAAACUUGCUUACAUCAUUUAUUUUUAAAUAAAAAAGAACCACUAUUGGGAGAAGGUAGUGCUUGAUUUUUUCUUCUUGGCAGAGUUCAUUCCAUAGCCUGCA
rnacentral:lncRNA from 1 species